rfam:Geomyces destructans 20631-21 unplaced genomic scaffold supercont1.146, whole genome shotgun sequence.
UCCCUCGUGGCGCAAUUGGCUAGCGCGUUCGACUGUUAAUCGAGAGGUUGGUGGUUCGAGCCCACCCGAGGGAG